rnacentral:rRNA from 1 species
GAUGAACGCUGGCGGCGUGCCUAAUACAUGCAAGUCGAACACAUUGAGAGAAGUGCUUGCACUUUUCAAUUUGAGUGGCGAACGGGUGAGUAACACGUGGGCAACCUACCUGAUAGCGGGGGAUAACGAGUGGAAACAUUCGCUAAUACCGCAUAACAAUAGAGAAGGCAUCUUCUUUAUUUAAAAGGCGCUUUCAAGCGUCACUAUCAGAUGGGCCCGCGGUGCAUUAGUUAGUUGGUGGGGUGAAGGCCUACCAAGACGAUGAUGCAUAGCCGAGUUGAGAGACUGAUCGGCCACAUUGGGACUGAGACACGGCCCAAACUCCUACGGGAGGCUGCAGUAGGGAAUCUUCCACAAUGGACGAAAGUCUGAUGGAGCAACGCCGCGUGUGUGAUGAAGGCUUUCGGGUCGUAAAGCACUGAUGUAUGGGAAGAAAUGCUAGGCUAGGAAAUGAGCUUAGUUUGACGGUACCAUACCAGAAAGGGACGGCUAAAUACGUGCCAGCCGCCGCGGUAA